UUCCAGACUGAGAGAUGGUGCUGCUGAUGCUGGAAGUGGUGGUUUCACAGAUCUGCUCCCCCAGGAGAGUAUCUUCAGGUAACAGCGUCUCUGCCCACAGUCGACAGAUGCCAUCCAGGCAGGACCUGUUGCAAAAUAUUCACCAUCAGGAGACCAUGACAUCAAAUGUACUGAUGUUGCAGUCCUACAGAACACAAAGGCAAGUUAAGUAAGAAUGUCAUCAGAUGGAGGGGCCCACAAUUGCAAAAAGUCUGUUGCUGUCAAUAACCUGUUACCUGAAAGGGAGUGAUACCAAAGCUGUGGAACCACGAUGAUGAAGUACUGCCCCUCUGACAACCUCUUCAAAUAAGAAAUACCAGCUUGUCACCGUGUCAUUCUAGUAUGAGACUCAAGAACAAGAUGUUGGGAACUCAGGAGAAGAGUAGUCCACAGUUCAAUCCAUUCAGUGGAAGAGUCUACCCACCCAGUUUCAUUAUGAAUGGUGGAAACUGUCCAUUAUUCUGUUAUGUGCUGACACAA